rnacentral:rRNA from 1 species
CAGUAGCCACGGUAAUACGUAGGGUGCGAGCGUUAAUCGGAAUUACUGGGCGUAAAGCGUGCGCAGGCGGUUAUAUAAGACAGAUGUGAAAUCCCCGGGCUCAACCUGGGACCUGCAUUUGUGACUGUAUAGCUAGAGUACGGUAGAGGGGGAUGGAAUUCCGCGUGUAGCAGUGAAAUGCGUAGAUAUGCGGAGGAACACCGAUGGCGAAGGCAAUCCCCUGGACCUGUACUGACGCUCAUGCACGAAAGCGUGGGGAACAAACAGGAUUAGAUACCCCCGUAGUCCCUGUCUCUUAUAC